AGACUGGAUGGGCUUUAAGAUCCCUUCCCACCCAACCCAUCCCAUGACUCUGUGUUUCUGUGACUCUGUGCCCAUCAGGGACAUGGAGUUGUGCUCCCUCAGGCCACGCAGCCAGUGGGGUCCUGCUCACCCUGUGUGUCCCCACGCUGUGGAUCCCGGGUGCCCUGGAGCCCGACAGCUGGAGGUGCAGGGGCUGGGGGUGUCCCUCACGGGGACACAGGGGUGCUCCAUGUGGGGACAGAGGGAGGUCACCACCUUCAGGCAGCCAUUGGUGACGGUGCCAGUCCGGUGGGUGCCAAUGUCACCAUGGCAACCAACGGCGGGCCCAGCGGGUCAUGGAGGAGCAGGGCAGGACAGGGCCUCGUGUCACCUUCUUCCCACCACCCCAGAGCCGGCGGUUCGAGGGGCCCCGGUAAAACAAUUUGAAGAGGCCAAAAAGAAGACUAAAAGUCUCCACAAACAGCUACAGCAGCAGUUUUUGAAAGACCAGGAGAGAAAGAUGGAGUGGAAAAAGAAAGCGGAGGAACAGUUUAAAAAAUCCCUGGAAGUGUUCGAUCGCAGGAGUGGGAAGGUGCCCGCCCGUCCCACCCGUCCUUCGGCGGCGGCUGAAGCGAAGCCCAAGAAACCAGCGGCUGCUGCCGACAAAAAAAAGAGCAAGAGACGCGUCUAGAGAGCUCCUCCUGCAGGCUGUGCCCCGCUCCGGCCACGGCUUCCAGCCCGCUGGAAUUUUAGGAAGCUAACGGUCCCGUUACAGCAAUAAAUCAGCACAAUCCCUCCCUCUGCCUGGUGUU
rnacentral:lncRNA from 1 species